GGGUUGUGAGGUUAAGCGACUAAGCGUACACGGUGGAUGCCCUGGCAGUCAGAGGCGAUGAAGGGCGUGCUAAUCUGCGAUAAGCGCCGGUAAGGUGAUAUGAACCGUUAUAACCGGCGAUACCCGAAUGGGGAAACCCAGUGUGAUUCGUCACACUAUCAUUAACUGAAUCCAUAGGUUAAUGAGGCGAACCGGGGGAACUGAAACAUCUAAGUACCCCGAGGAAAAGAAAUCAACCGAGAUUCCCCCAGUAGCGGCGAGCGAACGGGGAGGAGCCCAGAGCCUGAAUCAGCAUGUGUGUUAGUGGAAGCGUCUGGAAAGGCGCGCGAUACAGGGUGACAGCCCCGUACACAAAAGCGCAUGUGCUGUGAGCUCGAUGAGUAGGGCGGGACACGUGGUAUCCUGUCUGAAUAUGGGGGGACCAUCCUCCAAGGCUAAAUACUCCUGACUGACCGAUAGUGAACCAGUACCGUGAGGGAAAGGCGAAAAGAACCCCGGCGAGGGGAGUGAAAAAGAACCUGAAACCGUGUACGUACAAGCAGUGGGAGCACAGGUUUACCUGUGUGACUGCGUACCUUUUGUAUAAUGGGUCAGCGACUUAUAUUCUGUAGCAAGGUUAACCGAAUAGGGGAGCCGGAGGGAAACCGAGUCUUAAUUGGGCGUUAAGUUGCAGGGUAUAGACCCGAAACCCGGUGAUCUAGCCAUGGGCAGGUUGAAGGUUGGGUAACACUAACUGGAGGACCGAACCGACUAAUGUUGAAAAAUUAGCGGAUGACCUGUGGCUGGGGGUGAAAGGCCAAUCAAACCGGGAGAUAGCUGGUUCUCCCCGAAAGCUAUUUAGGUAGCGCCUCGUGAAUUCAUCUCCGGGGGUAGAGCACUGUUUCGGCUAGGGGGCCAUCCCGGCUUACCAACCCGAUGCAAACUGCGAAUACCGGAGAAUGUUAUCACGGGAGACACACGGCGGGUGCUAACGUCCGUCGUGAAGAGGGAAACAACCCAGACCGCCAGCUAAGGUCCCAAAGUCAUGGUUAAGUGGGAAACGAUGUGGGAAGGCCCAGACAGCCAGGAUGUUGGCUUAGAAGCAGCCAUCAUUUAAAGAAAGCGUAAUAGCUCACUGGUCGAGUCGGCCUGCGCGGAAGAUGUAACGGGGCUAAACCAUGCACCGAAGCUGCGGCAGCGACACUGUGUGUUGUUGGGUAGGGGAGCGUUCUGUAAGCCUGUGAAGGUGGCCUGUGAGGGUUGCUGGAGGUAUCAGAAGUGCGAAUGCUGACAUAAGUAACGAUAAAGCGGGUGAAAAGCCCGCUCGCCGGAAGACCAAGGGUUCCUGUCCAACGUUAAUCGGGGCAGGGUGAGUCGACCCCUAAGGCGAGGCCGA
rnacentral:rRNA from 1 species